rnacentral:lncRNA from 1 species
ACAAAGGCUAGUGCUGCUGCAGCUGCUGAGACUGAUGUGUGCUGUGCUGCUGCUGCCGCUGCCUCACUUUUCCCAGGAGCCGGAGCAUGUUCACUCUCUUCCUGUUUUGCAUGAGCAGAAUUUCCAAUUCAAAAACUGGACAUAAUCUCCCUCAUAGAACGAGAGGAAGAGCCAUGAAGUCCUGAUCUCCAGGGUUACGAGGAAAAGGAUAUGCUGAGUGGCACCUGUGCAGGUGAUGGGAUUGUGAAUGAGAAUGGGGAGGAGAAUCUGCACCAGGACAGUCAUGAGUCAGUGGAACCACAUGACACAUUAUCAGGAGCAUCCCAAAGGAAUAUUUCCCAGAGUCCUGACCAGGAUAAAGCCUGUGAGGGUCAGCACAGAUCAGAAAUGCAUCAAAGAACUCCUCCAGGGAAGAGAUGAUGUAAAUCAACUGCAUGUGAAAUAGAUUUUAGGAAACUGCCAGACAUUA